rnacentral:rRNA from 1 species
UACGAGGGGGGCGAGCGUUGUCCGGAAUUAUUGGGCGUAAAGAGCUCGUAGGUGGUUUGUUACGUCUGCUGUGAAAACCUAGGGCUUAACCCUGGGCCUGCAGUGGAUACGGGCAGACUAGAGGUAGGUAGGGGAGAAUGGAAUUCCCGGUGUAGCGGUGAAAUGCGCAGAUAUCGGGAGGAACACCAGUGGCGAAGGCGGUUGCCUGGGGCUUUGCUGACGCUGAUGCGCGAAAGCGUGGGGAGCGAUCCGG